CGUGCGUGUGAACCCCGCAUUCUGUCUCUACACGGGGAUUGAAAUGUCGCAGAAAGGGGGACAACAUGGCGGCGCCCAUUACCGUACACAUGCUGAGAGCAGCAGACCGAAGCCUGGAUUGAACCCCAACCUUUCAGUGUCUUCUAAAUCCACACAGAAAGUAUUUCAGGACUGUUUAGCUGCAACAACCGAUAGCCAAUUACCAAACGGAAACACUACUGUAGAUGCUUUCCAAGAUGGCGACAGAGGUACAGAGUCGUAUAGCAUAGAAGCAGUCGGAGAGCAACAACACAACAAUAGAACUGGUCGGUCUCCAUCCGUGUUCUCUCUAUCAAAUUCUGUGCUUCAUAGAGCAACCAAACGACAGAAACGACGGUCUGUUAGCAAUACAUCAGUACAAUCACUGCGAGGCAAUAACAUUCGCAGUAACAGGAUUGUAACAACACAGAAACAGAAGAGAAAGAAGAAGCUCGAACAAGUCAAUAACAAAAGCAAUUUGAUUGAUUCCAAUUGCGAAAGUUCCGACAUCAGCAAUAACUCCAUAAUAGUCAUAGAGCGCUUAAAUUACCUCUCAUCUGAACCUUCAUCCUCUGAUGAUGAUGACGAAGAAGAAGUGGCUGAUGGAGACGACGAGGCAGAACACGAAAUCGAAGAUUUACACAGCUAUGGUGAACACUCUGUGGCUGGAAGUAACGGCGAGUGGCUCAAGUCACGAAUUCGGAACUUGAAUUCUGUAGUGGAUUUUAAUUUGGACCAAUCUCACACCGACGAUCAGGAAGUGGUGGAUUCCUUAGAAGAGUUGGGCUCCACUAGUAAAGCGGCUAAAGACAUUGUUGUUGAUGAAUUUUUCGCCGACGAACAUCUUGCCGUCAGUCCAGAAGAGCCUGGGAGCGUCAUGCCUCCUCUGACAGGUGCCGAACAUGUGCUUGUACCUCCCACAACAGAGUCCAUAGCUUUAUACAACAACAAUAACAAACAUGCUACAGACACGGAAGACAUUGUAACGACUUCGGGAACGAGCCCGGAUAGAUCUCGCACUGCUAAGAUUUCCGUGGCCGUCGGUGAUAUCGAAACCGGUUCUACUUCUCGACUAUCGCAGAUUACUCCUCCACCGGAUUCCUCUCCAACAUCUACCAACACUCCAUCUGCCACAACUACUAAUGUGUUUUUAGUUGAUAAUUCGGAGGAGCCUUGUUCGUCGUCCUUCCCCGGUCUUUCAUCUAGUAGUUAUUCUACAACAACUACUUCAAAUUCUUCAUCAUUAGAAGCAUCUCUGUUGGAAUUCAGACGGGUCGGAACCGACAAAAGCAAUACUCUUAUGACACCUCAAGAACUGGAGAGUAUGCCGGACCAAGGUAUAGAAUUCGAAGAAUCUGUUGGUCCGAAACAGGAAGUCAUUAGUCCAUCUUCGUUGACCACGUGUAGUACCACAUCACCAUCAUCUUCCUUGUCAUUAUCUGAUUCACUGUCAGUCCUAUCAGAUUCUCCACAAUCCCAUCAGAAAUUGUUAGCUAGUUCCUCUUUACUAGAGUCACCGUCGCGAACCACCACCCCAACACCUAACAAUAACAACACCAACAUUAUCACUACCGAUCAUUCUUCAAACCACGAUGUCAAACCUAUAUUUAUCGAUUCCUCCAGUACCAGUACAGGUCUCACGUCGUCUGCCGACACUACCAGCACUACUACUACCACUGCUGGUCUGGAUAGUAGUCUCCUCAAUGCUGGUAACUUCACACUGGCCACUAUCUCAAUAUCAACUGACCGAGCCACCAACUCCACUCAGAUAUUGGUCAACACUAAUCAGGGACAACAGUUAUAUCAUAUAAACACUGCAGACCUCACCCAGCCUCUAUCGCUGCCCGUCACUCAGGCUCCACCGACGACUCCCUCAUCCUCGGCUACGACUGCCACCAGAACCACGUCGGCUUCGGCUCCGUUGUCAACCUCCUCACAAACAAACGGUCCUUCGGCACAAACAGGUUAUCUAUUGUUACCAGUUAACCCAGCUGAGAAUGGAAACAGUUUCUUAAUGACAGUACCAAUGACCAAUGGAAAUGUCAAACAGCAGCCCAGUAAAGUUGAAUGGUCAAGUGUUGUGAAAGAAGAAAGUGAUGAUGAUACUGGCAGUAAAUCUGACUCUCCAUCAGAGAACACUCCUGUAAAGAAGCUAUGGUCAUGCCAACAAGCCGGAUGUGAACAGGUUUUCAAGAAGUUAUCAAAAUUAAAGAUACAUUUGAUGAGACAUACUGGCGAACGACCAUUCCGGUGUAACCAGCCUGGCUGUGACUGGGCUUUCACUACAGCAUACAAACUGAAGAGACAUGUUGAGUCACAUCAGGGAAGAAAAGACUACAUUUGUGACAUUGAUGGUUGUGGUAGAAAGUUUACAACAAUCUACAACUUAAAUUCUCACAAGAAACUCCAUGAACGUCCAUGUAAUGAAGUUUGCCCCAAACCCAACUGUAACCAGAGGUAUCCAACAAAACGGCAACUUGAUUUGCAUUUAAAGAAUCAUGCUGAUGUGGAGAAAACUUAUAAAUGUCCUGUUGAUGGCUGUAACAAAGUUUUCCUUUCUCCUAACUGCAUGGGCUCUCAUGCCCGUGUUCAUCAACAGGACCGAGAUGACCUGGUCUGCAAGUAUGAUGGCUGUGGUAAAGUUUUCAAUAAAGUCUGUCGUCUUAAACAACACAUGCGCUGUCACACUGGCGAGAAACCAUAUCAGUGUCGUGUUGAUGGUUGUUCUUGGGCCUUUGCAACGGCCAGUAAAUUAAAACGCCACAUGAGCAAACAUACUGGUGUUCGAAAAUGGCUGUGCAAUGCAUGUGGCAAAGCAUUCUUGCGAGCUGAACAUCUGAAAGGUCAUUUAGUAACUCACAGUGGAACAAAACCAUUCCAGUGUCCAGUAGAUGGUUGCAAGACUCGUUUCACUGCUAAAAGUAGUUUGUAUAUACACUUGAAGAAACAUGACCAUUCUGGAAAGAAGAUUACUUACCAUUGUCCUAUGGAAGGCUGUGAGAAGAAAUAUUCUACCAAAGUCAGUCUGCGCAAUCACAUUAUGAAACAUUACAACAACAGCACCAUUUCUGCUUCUGACAGUCCUCACUUUGAUUUAGUGCCCCUCCUUGGCUCAGAUGAUAUUUCCGAUGCUGGUCUUGAGUCUCUUGGGCAGCAUUCUCAGUCCGAGAAUCAAACAACACCUGUAUCAGGAGUAAACCUCACCAAUUCUUUAUCUAAUUCCAUCCUUGGUUCUACUGAUCCAGUAUUAGUUGGUCCUUCAGAUUAUAUGUCAACAGACUCUGAAAAAUUGUUAUCAGUAGCAGUAAAUUCUGCAUCUUUGUUCAGUUCCUCUGAUAAUCUCCCUCCUCAUGGCAUUACAUUACGAGAUCCAGAAACAGGCGUGACGUAUGUCCAAACACAACUACUGCAGGACGAUCCACCAAAUCCAGAGAUGUAUCCCGGAGAUGGUAGUCUUGUCACUGAUCUGGCUUUGCAUGAUGCAAGUUCAAACACAGCAGCUGAUUCAGCUUCUGAACACGGUGCAUCAUCAACAGAAUUUACUGGAACUACCAUCAAUCUACAAGACCUAGAAUGAUGACCAGUGUCCACACAUCUGAUUCGUUAGGUGUAAAUUUUGCUACAAUUCCAUUCCAGAUGUUAACUCAAAGAGACAGUGAGUUGCAAACACAAAAGAAAUACCUCCAACACAAGACUUCUAUUUAUUUCUUGUGUUCUUUCAGUCCUGGCUAUGUUGACUAAAUAUCGUCACAGAUUUUAAUGGUUUUUCCUCUGAAUAAUUAACAAUUCUUUUUUCUUCAGUUGGGUAUGAAGAGAAUUGGGUAUUUACAGUGAUAUAUUUCUUGGGAGGAAAAACGCAAAAAAAAAAACCUGUUUAGCAACUGAAAACUUCAUUGCUAUUCUUGUGGUUUUGUUAAAGCUGUUGAACUAAAGACUGGCAUGUCAGGACUCUGGCACUGUAAUCUUUAUACAGAAAGCUGCAAAAUAUAUUUUUAUAAUGGAAACUGUAUGAACGUUUGGGUGGGAAUUUUCCACCUCCUGUUUGCCUGCUUGAUGUGACACAACGUAAAAGUCAUUUAGAUAAAUGCCUAUCGCUGCGUGUUUGAGUAGCAUUUGUCAUAGUUGGUACAGCACUGGCCAAACUGCCAAAGGAUCAAUGAUUAGUAUCCAAUCACUGGUGCUGUACUAUUUCUGUGGCAAAGACACUUGACUCUCAAAGGCCCAGUUCAACUUGCUUUAAAUAGUUUCCAUGGGAAGGUAGCUCUCACUCUAUUAAGCCGUGGAGUCGGGAGCACUGUAUAAUCAACGGGUGUUUUACUUAUAUAAGGCAAGGUUUACUAUAAUCUGUUUGCCUAUCUCAGGAGACAGAGAGAAAAGACAACUAUCUCUGAACUGUUUAACACCUUAAAAACAGGGAUAAGCACCAACGCAUCACAAUACCUGAUAAGCAAUAGUAUAUGAUAUUGUGGGAUCUGCCAAUGUUUUAGCCAUGAGAUAGAGCUAGUGUUCUUUUGCUACAUUCAACUAUAAGUUCUAAUGGCCAUAUCACUCUGGUUUCUGCAUUGUAUCAUGUGGCAAGACUCACAUAUUCAUGUUCUGUAUUGCAUCAUAGGGUCAGAUACAUGCAUCCGUAUUACCAUGUGUAUUGUGACUUGUGGCCAAUGUCUAUAUUCUGUGAAUUGUGUCAUGUAGCAAGAUACAAACUUCACUUAAUUGAAAAAUUAAUUUGGCAAACUGGUCAAUCAUGUUGAGUGAAAUUACUUCAUCUUCCUAAGACUUUAUACCUUGCCUACAAGCGACAGUGUUUGGAUAAAUAUUCCGCACAGCUUACACUUUGAUUCUAGAAUUCUCUCCCGGUGUUGGCAUUGCAUUGACGAGAUGCCUAAUUUAAGAAAUGACUAUAUUUUUAUUUGUUCCUCUUCAUUCUGUGUUCAUUUAUUUUAACAUUAUUUCUGGGGUUUCUUUUUUUUUCCCACUGUAUUUUGUUCCCUACAUGCCUCUCUACUUGUUUUCCAUAAACCAUGCUCCAAAACAUAUUUCCAUGUGUCUCCUCUGAUCUUGGACAGUUUACUUUUUGUGGACCUCAGUUCAUCUUACUGCAAGGAGAUAUCUACCAGGUCUUGUGAGAGUGUUUGUCUAAAAUGGACUGGUUUCCUAUCCAGCUGAAGGUUUUAUUUGUCAUCCUGGUUAACACCAUUGAACCAGAGCUAUGCCCCAGCAUAAUAUGCUCUCUGUGAGACAUGUACACAUUCAUUGUAUUGACGUCACCCAUUGUUUCUUGCAGUUUUCUCCUGUACCCCUUGCUAAAUUAUUUAUUUUGAUGGUGUCUUUUUAUCAUUAUUAUUAUUAUUAUAUAUUUUGUACUGCCUGAUCUUAUCUUAAAGAGUGUGUUGACUUCAGCAGUACAGCUAUUGUAUUAAUGCUUAUUGUUUUGGUUUUGAUGUUUUUGUUUUGUACUGGUAGACCUGUGAAGAGACUCUCUCUGUAAAUUUUCCCAUCAUUUCAGAGUCCAGUUGUUAUUGUUGUUGUUUAAACCCAGGCCAGUCCUGAUCCAGUAGACUUAUGAUGAAAGGCCCUUACAGUUGUGACCAGCCUGUUAUUUAUUCAGAUAUGUCUGAGAUUACAUUAUCCAAUGUAACCUUUUUUUUUCUUCAAGAUUGUGGGAUGUGAUUUGAGAAGGGAUUUCAGCUGCUAUUACUAGCACAUUAAGCAACCCUAAAGAGGCUCUGUCAUUGGUAGCACAUGAUUGAGACUGAUAAUGCAAUGAAAACUUUUGUAUAGAUUAAAGUUGGUUGGAUUCACAUCAAAGAAAGGGGUAUUAAAUAUUUAUCCUUGUUGGUUAUUUAGUGGAAUUGGUAGAGCAGCUAUGUCCCGUAAAAAUUAGCAUUCACAUCUGGUCAAACUCAACUUUUACUAUUUGUCUUCUUGGAUAAUGUUAGUCAAUAAAAACAAGUAGCAUUCAAGUACCUGUAUUGAUACAAUCAACUGUACUUCCGCUCUCUACACCCUGUAUUAAGAAAGCUAUGCCAUGGCAGGAUCUGUAAAGUACACGACAAAACAUCCUGUAAUAUUUUAAUUAUGUCCCUUUAUGUUUUUCAUUCCGUACUCACAGAGGCUGGCUUUUCCUUUCAUCUUUCUUGGUGGGUUGAGUAAAAAUAAGUAUACCAAUCAACUAUACUUCCUUCCACAAAAGUUGUGGCCUUGUGCCUGUUACAAACUGUCGUUGUUAUCAUUACUAGUUUUAGUUACGUCCCUUUGCAUUCCGAUUGUCAAGCCUUGCUUAUGUUUUUUGACUUUCAUCCUUCUGCAGUGAUAAAAUAAGUACCAAAAGACUGCUGGAGUUAGUGCCAUCAACUAAGCUCUUCCCACAAAAUUUGUGGCCUAGUGCCUAUAUCAGAAAUUAUUUCCUCCCUCUUUUUCACUUUUUCUUUAUCUAACAUGGAUUUCUCUCACCCUUUUCUUGCCAAGACAUCUCUUUAACUGCAGCCACAUUGCAUACAAUAUUUUCUCUACCAUUCCUUUACACUGACUAUUGGUCCAGUGUAAAAGCUAGCUUGGAAUAAUCUCAGUAAUAUUGUCACCAAUAUAUAUAUAUAAACCUUGCCAAAUCAGAUUGGAGCCUGGUGCAGCCUUCUGGCUUGCCAGUCCUCAGUCAAACCAUCCAACCCAUGCCAGACGUGAUGGUACUAUCUAAUAUUCUCAUUAAAAUAGAAUACCAAUUAAAUACUGAUUGCAGGCCUUGUAUGUAAAUAGUGAGCUAGCAGAAUCAUUAAAGUGAUACUCUUUUACUUGUUUCAGUCAUUUGACUGCAGCCAUGCUGGAGCACCGCCUUUAAUCGAGCAACUCGACCCCAGGACUUAUUCUUUUGU
rnacentral:misc_RNA from 1 species